rnacentral:misc_RNA from 1 species
UACGUAGGUGGCAAGCGUUAUCCGGAAUCACUGGGCGUAAAGGGCGCGUAGGCGGUUUGUUAAGUCCGUUGUUAAAGACCGGGGCUCAACCCCGGAGUGGCAGUGGGUACUGGCAGGCUUGACGGCUGGAGAGGCGAGUGGAAUUACCAGUGUAGCGGUGGAAUGCGUAGAUACUGGUAGGAACACCCAUGGCGAAGGCAGCUCGCUGGACAGCUCGUGACGCUGAGGCGCGAAAGUGUGGGGAGCGAACCGG